AUGAACGGCGGCGGCAGGAAGUUUGGGGGCGGGCGGCUGCCGACGGGAACGCCAUCGCUGGCCUGGUCAUCGGUGGUCGUGGUCGUCUCCCUCCUUGCGGGGGCCUCCGUCGUCCACAACGUCUACAAGCCCGACAUGGUACACUAG
rnacentral:rRNA from 1 species